rnacentral:rRNA from 1 species
AUUGAACGCUGGCGGCAUGCUUUACACAUGCAAGUCGAACGGUAACAGGCCUUCGGGUGCUGACGAGUGGCGAACGGGUGAGUAAUGCAUCGGAACGUACCCAGAGGUGGGGGAUAACGCAGCGAAAGCUGUGCUAAUACCUCAUGUGAGCUGAGGAUGAAAGCGGGGGACCGAGCAGCAAUGUUUGGCCUCGCGCCUUUGUAGCGGCCGAUGUCGGAUUAGCUAGUUGGUGGGGUAAAGGCCUACCAAGGCGACGAUCCGUAGCUGGUCUGAGAGGACGACCAGCCACACUGGAACUGAGACACGGCCCAGACUCCUACGGGAGGCAGCAGUGGGGAAUUUUCGACAAUGGGCGCAAGCCUGAUCCAGCAAUGCCGCGUGCGGGAAGAAGGCCUUCGGGUUGUAAACCGCUUUUGGCAGGAACGAAACGGUGUCCGCUAAUACCGGGCGAUAAUGACGGUACCUGAAGAAUAAGCACCGGCUAACUACGUG